AUUUUAGUAAUUUUAGACUCAAAAUACUUCUAAGCAUGUACAUUUUUAAAUUGACCACCCUUAAUUUUCUACAAAGGUAGCUAAUCUGAGGUGACCAGCGUAGAUGCUUAUCAACAAAAAUACCAAGAUACUUGUAAUUGUUUACUCUCUCAAUAACCUCAUUGCAAGAAUCACAUAGAUACCUGUUACAAGCAUUAUUCAAACAAAGCCUGUUCAUAUCUAGAUCUCCUCUUGUUGUUGGACUGAAGGUCAUACAUUUUGUUUUACCAAGAUUUAGUCUCAAAUAAUUACAUUUUAGCCACUGAGAAACCUUAUAGUAACCCACUUUUGUUUGCUUGAUAACAUCUUCCCAGGAACCUUCUUGGAAGAUAAGUGCUGUGUCAUCAGCAAAACAAAUUGUCUUAAACCCAACUGAGUCCAGUACACUAGGCAGGUUAUUAACAUAGAU